rnacentral:lncRNA from 1 species
AACUGCUGGACAUUUUUGCAAUAAUACACAAAUGGCACUGUUCACUACAUAAAUGUUCCAACCCGACACAUUAUCAAUCAAUACCUUGUAACUAAUUUGCUGUGAGGAUAACGACACUUUCAAAUAUAGCCAAAACUUGUGCAUUUCCUUAACUCAUAUAUAUUCCAUCUUUCAAUACCCCCCUUGCCCACAUUUCAUGCUUCUUCCCUGAUCCAAUUCCUCGUGAUUUAGGAAUAGUUUCUUGUUCCCUUAGCCAAAAAGAAGAAAAAAAAAACUCUUAAUUCUUAUCAUCACAAGUAAGACCCUUGAGUUUGUGAAAAUAUUAACUCAAGCUAGCUAGCUUUAUUAUUUGUCAUGAAACUUAAGGCUAGCUUCACUUCCAUUUUCUUCCUCCUACUCCUCUUGAUGGCACCUUGUUCUUCUUCAGGUAUGUUCGUCCUACUCCUCCUGAUGGCACCUCGUUCUUUUUUAUUUAUGAUGAACCUUGAGUCAUCAAAGCUUUCAUGACUCGGCCUGGCCCGUACGCGACUGGCGCUUCAAAAGGCGAAACUCUCGGCCAUAGUUUGGCAACCGAUCAUUAGUAGGGGUCUUUAAUCUUUUGAUUAGAGUAGGGGUCACGAGAGAGCAGAGCUACCGCCUGCCAUAGUUACGAGUCUGUUUAUAGUCGCGACUGUUGUCAUAGUCAACAAGGUUGAAAUUUCUAGGAAAAAACUUCGAAUUGGGAGGGCGAUCCUCCCAAUGAACUGGUCGUACCCCAAACCAACACAUGUGAACAAAUAGAGUAUAGUAGGGUGCUUAAGAGAACCAUGUCGAAAGAACUCGACAAAAUGAACCCGUAACUUGGGGAGAAGGGGCGCCUUCCUAUCUUUUGAUUAGGAAAGUGACACAUACCAGAGGUAACUGAUUUACUAUAAUAAUAAAUAGAGUCAAUGUGACUCCUCCAUGGGAAGAGCCACUUCCUUCUUGCUUGAUUGGGGGGAUGCCCCUUGUUGGUCCCGAGGGACGGAGGAGGCUAGGUUAGUUGUGGUAUUAUUCUCUUUGGACGAAGUCCGCAUAAUUUUCUACAAAUGUUCUUCAAAUACCUAAUAUGUAGCUUCCCAAUCUUUUCAGCAACCAAUCAAUAUGGGAUUUUGUCAUGUACGUGAGAUGUUUAUGAAUAAUAUAAAUGGUGUUCUCUUGAUAGGGAGAAGGAAUUUGACAAACAUGGAUUCGGAUAUUUAUAUCGAUUAUAGAGGUCCUGAAACUCAUCCUCACAAUCCUUCACCAAAUCGAUCCAUGGGACGACAUAAUGGUCGCAAAUCUAAAGGCAUUAGAGCUACUAAGCCUGGCCUAACUCAUGUGAGAAAUCUCUCUUCCUACUGGCUACUACACACGAAGUAGCAUUAGAGCUAUGUUCAUUUUUUAAGUUUGAUUUAAUACAUGGUUUUGUUGCAGGGGAAGAAAAAUCAUGGAUGAGUUGGUAUGAAAGUUUGAUUUAGUUGAGUGUUUUUGAAACUUGGAAGGAGCAAUCAUCCAGGGUGUGUUUCAUUAAUUCUAGGUUAAACGAAGCAAAAGAAAGAUGAGUUAAAAUUUCUUUGUUUUCAUCAUUGGAAUAUGGUAAUAUGGAGAAUGUUUCUUAAAUCUGCAUGCAGAUGAAUAUAUGUAAUUAAAUAUGAAAAGUAGUACAUUGAGUUUUUUCUAUUUAAAAUAUAUCUACUACCAUAAUUUGUGUAAAUGAGGAUGUGAUUUUAUUUGGUUCAAUUGCCUUUAUUGUUGAUCAAUAAAAUCAUUAGAAUUGUGUAUCAA